UCUCCGUUGGUGAACCAGCGGAGGGAUCAUUGCUGGAACGCGCCCCAGGCGCACCCAGAAACCCUUUGUGAACUUAUACCUUACUGUUGCCUCGGCGCAUGCCGGCCCCCCCGGGGGCCCCUCGGAGACGAGGAGCAGGCACGCCGGCGGCCAAGUUAACUCUUGUUUUUACACUGAAACUCUGAGAAAAAAAAACACAAAUGAAUCAAAACUUUCAACAACGGAUCUCUUGGUUCUGGCAUCGAUGAAGAACGCAGC
rnacentral:misc_RNA from 1 species